rnacentral:rRNA from 1 species
AUGGUUACUAACGUAUAUGCGCCAACUGCGCGAUCUCUCAAAAGUGUUUUCUUGGACGAAUUAAAAAGUAUUGCUCCUCCGGAUAAUACUCCGUGGUUAGUCAUAGGUGAUUUCAACUUGAUUCGCUUCCCCCAUGAGAAAAAUAAUUCCAAUUUUCGACACUUAGAGGCAUCGCUUUUCAAUGACACUCUAGAUCAUCUCACUCUGCUGGAAUUACCUCUGCUUGAUAGGCAGUUCACCUGGUCGAAU